GGUAGACCCACCUGGAAUGGGGUGGGUCCACCUGUAGGAUUGACAGAUCAAACUGGUAUGAAUUUUUUUCCAGGCUGCCUCUCAAUCACCUGGCCCACGAAGGACAGACCAUGAAGGAAGAACUGUUUCUGCAGGGUCCUAAUGCCCUGAGCAUAACACAAGAGCAUCUCAUGAUGUGCUUGCGCUACCUAUGCUUGUUGGUGACAGUUUCCUGGUGUCUCCAAAACCUGGAUACUAGGUAACAAAGUCGAGACACGACCCAAAGUUGGGACUGUC